rnacentral:rRNA from 1 species
CCUACGGGAGGCAGCAGUGGGGAAUUUUGGACAAUGGGCGAAAGCCUGAUCCAGCAAUGCCGCGUGAGUGAAGAAGGCCUUCGGGUUGUAAAGCUCUUUUGUCAGGGAAGAAACGGUGAGGGCUAAUAUCCUUUGCUAAUGACGGUACCUGAAGAAUAAGCACCGGCUAACUACGUGCCAGCAGCCGCGGUAAUACGUAGGGUGCAAGCGUUAAUCGGAAUUACUGGGCGUAAAGCGUGCGCAGGCGGUUUUGUAAGUCUGUCGUGAAAUCCCCGGGCUCAACCUGGGAAUUGCGAUGGAGACUGCAAGGCUAGAAUCUGGCAGAGGGGGGUAGAAUUCCACGUGUAGCAGUGAAAUGCGUAGAGAUGUGGAGGAACACCGAUGGCGAAGGCAGCCCCCUGGGUCAAGAUUGACGCUCAUGCACGAAAGCGUGGGGAGCAAACAGGAUUAGAUACCCUGGUAGUCCACGCCCUAAACGAUGUCUACUAGUUGUCGGGUUUUAAUUAACUUGGUUAACGCAGACUACGCGUGAGUAGACCGCCGUGGGNGGUACGGUCGCGAAGUAAUUAAAACUUACAAAUAAGUUAAGUUAGUACGGCGUUGAGAGUUGACCGACGGACGACGACGAGGGGAGGAGG